CCUACGUGAGGCAGCAGUGAGGAAUAUUGGUCAAUGGGCGCGAGCCUGAACCAGCCAAGUAGCGUGAAGGAUGACUGCCCUACGGGUUGUAAACUUCUUUUAUAAAGGAAUAAAGUGAAGCACGUGUGCCUUUUUGUAUGUACUUUAUGAAUAAGGAUCGGCUAACUCCGUGCCAGCAGCCGCGGUAAUACGGAGGAUCCGAGCGUUAUCCGGAUUUAUUGGGUUUAAAGGGAGCGUAGAUGGGUUGUUAAGUCAGUUGUGAAAGUUUGCGGCUCAACCGUAAAAUUGCAAUUGAUACUGGCAGUCUUGAGUACAGGUGAGGUAGGCGGAAUUCGUGGUGUAGCGGUGAAAUGCUUAGAUAUCACGAAGGACUCCGAUUGCGAAGGCAGCUUACUAAACUGCCACUGACAUUGAUGCUCGAAAGUGUGGGUAUCAAACAGGAUUAGAUACCCUUGUAGUC
rnacentral:rRNA from 1 species